rnacentral:rRNA from 1 species
AGUUUGAUCCUGGCUCAGGACGAACGCUGGCGGCGUGCCUAAUACAUGCAAGUCGAACGAACUCUGGUAUUGAUUGGUGCUUGCAUCAUGAUUUACAUUUGAGUGAGUGGCGAACUGGUGAGAAACACGUGGGAAACCUGCCCAGAAGCGGGGGAUAACACCUGGAAACAGAUGCUAAUACCGCAUAACAACUUGGACCGCAUGGUCCGAGUUUGAAAGAUGGCUUCGGCUAUCACUUUUGGAUGGUCCCGCGGCGUAUUAGCUAGAUGGUGGGGUAACGGCUCACCAUGGCAAUGAUACGUAGCCGACCUGAGAGGGUAAUCGGCCACAUUGGGACUGAGACACGGCCCAAACUUCUACGGGAGGCAGCAGUAGGGAAUCUUCCACAAUGGACGAAAGUCUGAUGGAGCAACGCCGCGUGAGUGAAGAAGGGUUUCGGCUCGUAAAACUCUGUUGUUAAAGAAGAACAUAUCUGAGAGUAACUGUUCAGGUAUUGACGGUAUUUAACCAGAAAGCCACGGCUAACUACGUGCCAGCAGCCGCGGUAAUACGUAGGUGGCAAGCGUUGUCCGGAUUUAUUGGGCGUAAAGCGAGCGCAGGCGGUUUUUUAAGUCUGAUGUGAAAGCCUUCGGCUCAACCGAAGAAGUGCAUCGGAAACUGGGAAACUUGAGUGCAGAAGAGGACAGUGGAACUCCAUGUGUAGCGGUGAAAUGCGUAGAUAUAUGGAAGAACACCAGUGGCGAAGGCGGCUGUCUGGUCUGUAACUGACGCUGAGGCUCGAAAGUAUGGGUAGCAAACAGGAUUAGAUACCCUGGUAGUCCAUACCGUAAACGAUGAAUGCUAAGUGUUGGAGGGUUUCCGCCCUUCAGUGCUGCAGCUAACGCAUUAAGCAUUCCGCCUGGGGAGUACGGCCGCAAGGCUGAAACUCAAAGGAAUUGACGGGGGCCCGCACAAGCGGUGGAGCAUGUGGUUUAAUUCGAAGCUACGCGAAGAACCUUACCAGGUCUUGACAUACUAUGCAAAUCUAAGAGAUUAGACGUUCCCUUCGGGGACAUGGAUACAGGUGGUGCAUGGUUGUCGUCAGCUCGUGUCGUGAGAUGUUGGGUUAAGUCCCGCAACGAGCGCAACCCUUAUUAUCAGUUGCCAGCAUUAAGUUGGGCACUCUGGUGAGACUGCCGGUGACAAACCGGAGGAAGGUGGGGAUGACGUCAAAUCAUCAUGCCCCUUAUGACCUGGGCUACACACGUGCUACAAUGGAUGGUACAACGAGUUGCGAACUCGCGAGAGUAAGCUAAUCUCUUAAAGCCAUUCUCAGUUCGGAUUGUAGGCUGCAACUCGCCUACAUGAAGUCGGAAUCGCUAGUAAUCGCGGAUCAGCAUGCCGCGGUGAAUACGUUCCCGGGCCUUGUACACACCGCCCGUCACACCAUGAGAGUUUGUAACACCCAAAGUCGGUGGGGUAACCUUUUAGGAACCAGCCGCCUAAGGUGGGACAGAUGAUUAGGGUG